UUUAUUUACAGGUAAGUUGUUUUGAAAAAAAUAACUGUUUGUAGCUGUAUGUAAAUCACCAAAAAGAGCCGUUCGUUUUGCUCAAAGAUUUAUUGGUGGAAUGUUUAAUUACUCCAGCAUAAUUUCCGAUAAUCAUACGUAAUCUCUAUGCAACGGCACUGUUUCACUAGGACACCAGUAUGUUUUGUAAAGAUACACCCACCCCCAAACAUCUUCCUGCACUAUUACCUACAUCAUGUCACGUUUGACCUUUCUAGCUUCCAGUGGGCUAGCUACAGUUCAGUUUCAAGAGUUCCUCCGUCAUGUACUAAACUUCUACAGUACUCGCUGUAUAUUUGACCUCUCUCUCACGGUUCAAAUGUCUCAUUCUCUCUGGUCGUGCUGUUGUUAAAGUGUACGAACGCAGUACGGCGGCUGGACCUCCUAAACAAGAACUUUUCAUAUGUCUGAGACCAGCCCCUCACGCCUCAUGGAGGGGCAUCCACUGUUUCCACAGAGGGGAGCCAUGUUCUUGAGGAUUGUGGUUGACUGAGUGAUAGCUGUAGAUGGAGAAACUACCACGUCAUGUUCAUUAGAAGAGUUAGCUGAAGUGUCCUGCUCCCUGACAGAGGGAAAGGUGCAGAAGGCUGUGCAGUACGCUGCUGGGGACACCAGCAUCAAUGAAGAGAUGCAGGUCUUCCAGACCCCAGAACCUGUAAAAGUGCUUUGUCUCUAGCAUGGUAAACAAAUGUAAUGCAAAUCCUUAUUAAACUGACAUACUACUGUUCAGGAGUAUUACAUUUUCUUAUUUU
ensembl:lncRNA